AUUGAACGCUGGCGGCAGGCCUAACACAUGCAAGUCGAACGAGUGGCGGACGGGGGAGUGAUGUCUGGGAAAAUGCCUGAUGGAGGGGGAUAACUACUGGAAACGGUAGCUAAUACCGCAUACCAUCGGAUGUGCCCAGAUGGGAUUAGCUAGUAGGUGGGGUAAAGGCUCACCUAGGCGACGAUCCCUAGCUGGUCUGAGAGGAUGACCAGCCCCACUGGAACUGAGAGACGGUCCAGACGUCUAGGGGAGGCAGCAGUGGGGAAUAUGGAACAAUGGGCGCAAGCCUGAUGCAGCCAUGCCGCGUGUAUGAAGAAGGCCUUCGGGUUGUAAAGUACUUUCAGCGGGGAGGCGUUACCUGCAGAAGAAGCACCGGCUACCUCCGUGCCAGCCGCCGCGGUAAUU
rnacentral:rRNA from 1 species